GAUGAAGAACGCAGCGAAAUGCGAUACUUGGUGUGAAUUGCAGAAUCCCGUGAACCAUCGAGUCUUUGAACGCAAGUUGCGCCCGAAGCCACUAGGCCGAGGGCACGCCUGCCUGGGCGUCACACACCGUUGCCCCCCCAUCUACUCCUUCGGGAUUGCGGGGGGGCGGAUGAUGGCCUCCCGUGCGCCUAGCCGCGCGGUUGGCAUAAAUACCAAGUCCUCGGCGACGCACGCCACGACAAUCGGUGGUUGCGAAACCUCGGUUGCCCGUCGUGUGCGUUCGUCGCGCAUCGAGGGCUCGAAAAAAUGCUCGGCUCCGGCUGGGCUUUCAACGCGACCCCAGGUCAGGCGGGGUUACCCGCUGAAUUUAAGCAUAUCAAUAAGCGGAGGA
rnacentral:misc_RNA from 1 species